rnacentral:lncRNA from 1 species
AAAGGCUGACUUGGAUCUCUGACUUAAAUCUAGAAGUGAGGUUUUCACUUUCAUUUGAUAUUGUUGCUGUUCUUAUUGUUUAAGCAAUCAUUUGCAAACCAUAGCUUGUUUUGGAGUUAAAGGUGUUAUGUGUCUUCAUGUUAGUUGGUAGUUUAUUGUGAUGUUAAUGUGAAGAAAUAAAUACUAUAUAUCACCACAUCUGUUUGGAAAUACACAUUUUGCCCUUUGUAUAUUGUAACUAAGCAGUUAGUAAAUCUUAAGGCAUGUGGUAACCUACAUAGUCCUUAGAUAGACAGGAGGUUUGUUCUUUCAAAUGUGCUGAAACUUAUAUGGACUCCGUGAGGGGAAGCAGGGGGGAAUUGAGCUGUCUGAAAGCAUUGUCUGUUUGUUCACUUGUUUCCUUAAUUCUUUCUGUGAGCAUCAUGGAGCCUAAUCUAGGGAAGUCCCUUAGCGAUCUUGCUUCAUGUGUGUUUGCUGCACCUCACACAAGUGGUGGGUGAGUAGAACACAGUAGCAGGCUCUCUAGUGCCUGACUUCUGUACGUAACUCAAGAGAGUGAGCUGAUAUGGAGGUCUUUGACAUUACAGGCACAAAUGAUCUAUUUAAGAACAUAAAGACCAUACAUUCUAUUGGGACAGGGCCUCCAGGUAUCCUUGAGGACCAAGAACAAAAGUAGAAGCAAGAGGUUUAAAGUGGAUCUACAUUGCCUUUUAUGAAACCAAAAUGAGUCGUUGCACUUAAUUGCUAACGGAUCCUACCUUGUGUGAAACAAUCAGCAAUGCUAGGUAACGUGAUGUCAUUCCUGUAAUGCUAGUGACCAAUGGUAUCCUGUUAGGAAUGAUGUAAGAGAGAGAUCCUGCAGCCUACGUAAAAUCUAUGGGAAAGUUGCAAGACCUAUCACAUAUCAGUACAAAACUCCUUUAUUUUAUUAAAUUUAAAAAUUAGCUUCUUGUUAAGAUCAUGUACUAGUCCUUUAAAUUAUUAAAGGUCUACCUUUGGCAGGAUUAAUGCAUUUCGUAGUAAAAUAUUUUUAUAUAUCAAUUUUUUGAGCACUAUUGGAGAACAUCCGCAAAAUUGAAUUGCAUGGUUAUUCAGUGCAACCAAUAAAAUUUUUAUUCACUUUGUACUCGAAUGGACAAAGAACACUAAGGUUUAUAUGUUAAAGUAACAAAACCAUACAGGGUAUAUUAAAUACACAUAUGUAUGAAUGUGUGUGUUUGUAAAGGUACAGUGCUAGGAGAACAUGACCUUUUUUCUCUGUACAUAGUUAAGCUCAAGUACGGAGUUUUAAUCUGUACGGGAAGAGCUGUAUUGGGGUCUUUUACUGCUGAGAAAGUAGAACAAUAACUUAUACUUUGCACUGUAUGACCAGGGAAGAGUUAGAGUAUUUCUUUUGUCUUUGCUCAAAGCCAUACAUAUAUAAAUAUAUAUUAAGAUUAUUAAUAAAUUCAAAAGAAAAUAAACCAAAUUAUGAAUAUUUUAUUUUGUUGUUGAAAUCUAAUCAAAUGUUUAACUCAUUGAGGAGUACAGAUUUGCUUGUUGUUCUCUCUUUGUAUAAUCUCCAAAAAGAUUUGUUUUUGAAAAUCACCAUACAAUUGUUAUAGAAAUUCUACAGAUAUAGAAUGAAUGUAAUUUAAAUAGAACAUAGAUGUCUCAGUCACCUGUUUGUUUUCCUUUUUUUCAUAUGGUAACAUUUGGUUAUCUUAUUCUUUACCCCAUGCCUCUUUAGUAUGUGGUGUUUCUCCAGUUUUAAAAUGCAGCCAUGUCUUUGUUAUUGGAUAUGGGGAUGGUUUUUAAUUUUCGUACAUGACCUGUUUUCUCUGGGCUUUUCAAAGGCCUCAGAUGAGAUUUGUCACAAUGAGGAUAAAUAGCAAAGCAGUCCUAAACACAAGGAGGAUAAAGUGUGAUUCUUCAAUUGGUUGUCCUCCUCAAACACACAGCCUGACUCCAGAUCUCCGUGACCUCUCCAUAAGUGAAUGGUUACCAAGUGGAUGCCAUUCUACUUUUAAAAGAUGCUUACUCUAUCAUUUACAGACUUAAAUGAACAUGUUAUUUUAAGGACACUGCAAAGAAAGCAGUCGCUAGUCUAAUAAUUCCUACACAUACGAACAAUUUAAACAAUAUGAUGAGUUUCAACUUUUAGAUACAUUAUACUAAAAUCAGAAUUAGUUAUGAUUCAACAUAUAAGUCACCUUGACUCCUUGACAAGAUUAUUGUGUAAAAUACCUCCAUAUAUUUUUAUGACUUGUUUUUUAUUUGGUAAGUUUACUAUAAUUGCUAUUUGGGAUCUUACUUUCCUUAUUUUUAUAAUAUUAAACUAGAUGACUAAAAUUUUUCUCAUUUUUAUCUUCUCCAUCCUUGUAGAGCUUGUAUCAUGCCAUGCAAGUGUAGGAUAUGUUGUUGUUGCUGCUACAGCUGCUGCUAUUGUUGUUAAUAUUCACUAACCCUAACAAAAAUUUUCUAUAUGAUAGGUAUAUCUACCUAAAUAUCCAUAAGUCUGUGCCAUAAGAAAAAAACUAUACUCAAGUAUUAAACUACACUGAAUUCUGAAUAGUCAAAAAUUGUCACGAAACAUGCAGUUGAAUAUGUGGACCAAAUUAUGUGGGAAUUUUUUUAACUUUAUUCAAAAUAGUUCCUGAAAUAUUUUCAAAAUCAUGUUGGAAAUUUUCUUUCGAGGAUUUUUUUUUUUUAUCAAUUUAAGGGUGAUUUGUAGUUGCUGUGACCACUUGAAAAUAGUGACUUUCUAAAGCAGUUUUAUUUCAUUUUAAUAAAUAACACGUUUUUAUUCUUUUCUCAUAUAUUUAUUCUGAUACAAUUUUCCCAACCCCCUCUUCCCCCAGCCUCUUCCCUCCCCCAUCACCACUCUCUUCCAUAUCCCCACCCCUCUCCUGGGGAAAAGGAUCGACAUUUUUAUUGCAUGUAUUGAUAUCUUCACAAACAGGUCAUUUUGGCCUUGAUCACAUUUAUAGCUUUCAGGU